GACGAACGCUGGCGGCGUGCUUAACACAUGCAAGUCGAACGGAAAGGCCCUGCUUUUGUGGGGUGCUCGAGUGGCGAACGGGUGAGUAACACGUGAGUAACCUGCCCUUGACUUUGGGAUAACUUCAGGAAACUGGGGCUAAUACCGGAUAGGAGCUCCUGCUGCAUGGUGGGGGUUGGAAAGUUUCGGCGGUUGGGGAUGGACUCGCGGCUUAUCAGCUUGUUGGUGGGGUAGUGGCUUACCAAGGCUUUGACGGGUAGCCGGCCUGAGAGGGUGACCGGCCACAUGGGGACUGAGAUACGGCCCAGACGCCUACGGGAGGCAGCAGCGGGGAAUAUGGCACAGUGGGCGGAAGCCUGAUGCAGAAACGCCGCGUGCGGGAUGACGGCCUUCGGGUUGUAAACCGCUUUCGCCUGUGACGAAGCGGGAGUGACGGUAAUGGGUAAAGAAGCACCGGCUAACUACGUG
rnacentral:rRNA from 1 species